UUUGCAUGGGGUUGGAGGAAGGUGCCAGGCGUCAUCCCCCAUUUUGUGGGAGGUCAGAGCUCCAUGGAGCUGAUGUGCGUGUUCAGACACCAAGGGCUUUGCAUAGGGGCUCUGAGACACGGAAAUACACAAAGAGUUCCAGAGGCACACCCAGAAUCAUGAGAGCACAUCCUUGUUGGUACACUAGAACACAAGUACUCAGACCCACAUCAAGUCGCCCGACAUGCUUGCACACUCAGUCAGACAGACAUCCGCAGUCACAUGAACCUAACUUUCUGCACUCAUGCCAACACAUAGGUAUCCAGUCGUACAUAAGGGAUACUACAGUUGGGAAGCAGAAGAAGCCUUCCCUCAGGGAACCAUGGGCAUCGAUAUUGCUUAGCAAGAAGCUGGGUAACAUCUGAAACCUGCCUGUGCUUUCUGUCCCCUUGUCAGGUGAAGUUGCCAGAUAUGACUGUCUGUCACCCAGGAGACGAAGCCCCGCCCGUGAGAAAGUGACUCAAGGUGCAAGGGAGUCUGGUGAGAAGUGUGGUGGGCCCAUGUUCCUGCCACUGCUUUUGUGAUCACCGAGCACGGUGAAGUUGCCCAAUAUGACUGUCCGUCAACCAGGAGAUGAAGCCCCGCCCGUGAGAAAGUGACUCGAGGUGCAAGGGAGUCUGGUGAGAAGUGUGGUGGGCCCAUGUUCCUGCCACUGCUUUUGUGAUCACCGAACACGGUGAAGUUCCCAAGUGUGACUGUCCGUCACUCAGGAGAUGAAGCCCCACCCAUGAGGUGGUGACUCGAGGUGCAAGGGAGUCUGGCAAAAAGUGUGGUGGGCCCAGGUUGCUGCCAGUUCUUUUUGGAUCACC